ACCAUCCCCCGGCCCCGGGCCCUGGCCGGCGUCAGACCGAGCUGCCGCCGCCACCACCGCAGCAGCAGCAGUCGGGGAGCCAGGCCCAGCCAGGGCCGCGGGAGGCGGGGGCGCCCGGGCCCUGGAUGUCCCGCAGCGCGGCGGCCAGCGGCGGACCCCGGAGGCCUGAGCGGCACCUGCCCCCAGCCCCCUGUGGGGCCCCGGGGCCCCCAGAAACCUGCAGGACGGAGCCAGACGGGGCGGGCACCAUGAACAAGUUACGGCAGAGCCUGCGGCGGAGGAAGCCAGCCUACGUGCCCGAGGCGUCGCGCCCGCACCAGUGGCAGGCAGACGAGGACGCGGUGCGGAAGGGCACGUGCAGCUUCCCGGUCAGGAUGCUCAGUGGACACUGAG
rnacentral:ncRNA from 2 species